UAAUGCAGUCGAGCGGACAGAAGGGAGCUUGCUCCCGGAUGUUAGCGGCGGACGGGUGAGUAACACGUGGGUAACCUGCCUGUAAGACUGGGAUAACUCCGGGAAACCGGAGCUAAUACCGGAUAGUUCCUUGAACCGCAUGGUUCAAGGAUGAAAGACGGUUUCGGCUGUCACUUACAGAUGGACCCGCGGCGCAUUAGCUAGUUGGUGAGGUAACGGCUCACCAAGGCGACGAUGCGUAGCCGACCUGAGAGGGUGAUCGGCCACACUGGGACUGAGACACGGCCCAGACUCCUACGGGAGGCAGCAGUAGGGAAUCUUCCGCAAUGGACGAAAGUCUGACGGAGCAACGCCGCGUGAGUGAUGAAGGUUUUCGGAUCGUAAAGCUCUGUUGUUAGGGAAGAACAAGUGCAAGAGUAACUGCUUGCACCUUGACGGUACCUAACCAGAAAGCCACGGCUAACUACGUGCCAGCAGCCGCGGUAAUACGUAGGUGGCAAGCGUUGUCCGGAAUUAUUGGGCGUAAAGGGCUCGCAGGCGGUUUCUUAAGUCUGAUGUGAAAGCCCCCGGCUCAACCGGGGAGGGUCAUUGGAAACUGGGAAACUUGAGUGCAGAAGAGGAGAGUGGAAUUCCACGUGUAGCGGUGAAAUGCGUAGAGAUGUGGAGGAACACCAGUGGCGAAGGCGACUCUCUGGUCUGUAACUGACGCUGAGGAGCGAAA
rnacentral:rRNA from 1 species